GACGAACGCUGGCGGCGUGCCUAAUACAUGCCAGUAGAACGCACAGUUUAUACCGUAGCUUGCUACACCAUAGACUGUGAGUUGCGAACGGGUGAGUAACGCGUAGGUAACCUGCCUGGUAGCGGGGGAUAACUAUUGGAAACGAUAGCUAAUACCGCAUAAUAUUAAUUAUUGCAUGAUAAUUGAUUGAAAGAUGCAACUGCAUCACUACCAGAUGGACCUGCGUUGUAUUAGCUAGUAGGUGAGGUAACGGCUCACCUAGGCGACGAUACAUAGCCGACCUGAGAGGGUGAUCGGCCACACUGGGACUGAGACACGGCCCAGACUCCUACGGGAGGCAGCAGUAGGGAAUCUUCGGCAAUGGACGAAAGUCUGACCGAGCAACGCCGCGUGAGUGAAGAAGGGUUUCGGAUCGUAAAGCUCUGUUGUAAGAGAAGAACGGGGGUGAGAGUGGAAAGUUCACACUGUGACGGUACCUUACCAGAAAGGGACGGCUAACUACGUG
rnacentral:rRNA from 1 species